AACGUAGGAGACAAACGUUAUCCGGAGUUACUGGGCGUAAAGGGCGUGUAGGUGGUUUCGUAAGUCUGGCGUGAAAUAUCUCGGCUUAACCGAGGCAGGUCGUCGGAUACUGCGGAACUAGAGUGUGGUAGAGGCGUGUAGAAUUCCGGGUGUAGUGGUGAAAUGCGUAGAGAUCCGGAGGAAUACCAGUGGCGAAGGCGGCACGCUGGGCCAUAACUGACGCUAAGACUCGAAAGCAUGGGUAGCGAACGGG
rnacentral:rRNA from 1 species